UCCUCUGCAUGUGAAUCCAGUCGUACAGGGCCUCGUAGGGAAACAGACUUAAGAUUUCCAAUGGAUAUAACAAAGUUUCAGAAAAAAAAGUCUUGUCUAAAUUCGUGGAAAUCCACAUGGAGGUCAGAAGGCUGGGAAGAAGUGAGCCUCCCCUUUCAUCCGCCCAUACAGAGCAGCUGGAGACGAUGGAGGACUUUGAGAGAGAGGGGGAAUGCCUCAAGGACAAGCAAGCCUUUGAGUCCCUGGUGUUGCAACUUGCAAGAAUUGGAGGGAAAGAUGUAAAGGAUUGUGUCCACAAAAUUCUUGACAGG